rnacentral:rRNA from 1 species
AUGUCUGGUCCUCCAGCACCACUGCCGACCCAUCUUGCCUCCGUCAGCUCUCACCGGUUGCAGUUCCGCUACUGGUGGGAAUUGAUCUGGUGCCCAUGGCGGUGGUGUUUAUAUGUACAUGCAUCUUUCUUCCAAAUCCUAUAUUCAGUUAUUUUCUUUUCAAGAAAAAAAUAUUCAGUUCUGCUUUUAUACCUCUGGCAAUCUUUCAAUGUCAAGCGGCUGGGACGACGACAGGUCACAUGGCUGGUAAGCUAUUUUUCUUGGCUAUUGCUUCGAUAUGAGAUUCGUCCCCUCCUUGGCUAUGUUAUGCAGUGA